GCCGGGCAUGGUGGCUCAUGCCUGUAAUCCCAACACUUUGGGAGGCUGAGGUGGGCGGAUCACCUGAGGUCGGGAGUUCAAGACCAGCCUGACCAACAUGGAGAAACCCCAUCUCUA
rnacentral:SRP_RNA from 1 species